rnacentral:misc_RNA from 1 species
GUGAAUCAUCGAAUCUUUGAACGCAUAUGGCACCUGCUAACUUUUGUUAGAAGGUAUGCCUGUUUGAGAAUCAUAUUAUAUUUAUUUCUUUUUGUUCCUUUGAUAUAAUGAUUGAUUGUCAUUGAUUGAUUCACUUUGAUCAUUGAUGAUGAAUGAUGACUAUCGAGGAAAACAAACUGACACAAUUGGACUUUUAUCAUUAAUCGUCUUGAAUUCUGUAAGGAUGACUUGUUGAUAGAUAAAAUGGAAUGGAAUGUCUUUUCAUUCAAUUAAUAUAUUUUGACAUGUCAAACCACACCC